UACGAAGGGAGCUAGUGUUGUUCGGAAUCACUGGGCGUAAAGCGCACGUAGGUGGAUAGAUAAGUUAGGGGUGAAAGCCCGAGGCUCAACCUCGGAAUUGCCUCUAAUACUGUCUGUCUAGAGUCCGAGAGAGGUGGGUGGAAUUCCUAGUGUAGAGGUGAAAUUCGUAGAUAUUAGGAAGAAUACCGGUGGCGAAGGCGGCCCACUGGCUCGGUACUGACGCUGAGGUGCGAAAGCGUGGGGAGCAAACAGG
rnacentral:rRNA from 1 species